rnacentral:rRNA from 1 species
GACGAACCGUGCAAACGUUGUUCGGAAUCACUGGGCUUAAAGGGCGCGUAGGCGGGCAGGCAAGUCGAAGGUGAAAUCCCACGGCUCAACCGUGGAAGUGCCCCCGAUACUGCCUGUCUCGAGGGAGAUAGGGGCGUGCGGAACUUCCGGUGGAGCGGUGAAAUGCGUAGAUAUCGGAAGGAACACCGGGGCGAAAGCGGCGCGCUGGAUCUCUUCUGACGCUGAUGCGCGAAAGCCAGGGGAGCAAACGGG